GUAAGAAGUCAAGCCAGCCCAGAAGAUACUCAGGAACCUUAUAUCGAUAAGGUCGCUAAUCAACCAGCUUCACAAGAACGAGAUGAAGAUAUAUCUCGUCCUGUUGACGAUGUAAUGGAUGACCCACCUGAUUAUAUUGCAUAUGAUAAACCAGUAGCACGGGUGAUAAAAGACUACUACAAAAUAGAACAAGAUAAUAAAAAUAAAAAAGCCAUUAUAGAUGCUAAAAUUGCCAAAGAACGGGGAUUGCUUGAUUUCCCUGAUCCAAACUACCCCCAAGAAGAUGGAG